CCUACGGGAGGCAGCAGUGGGGAAUAUUGGACAAUGGGCGAAAGCCUGAUCCAGCCAUGCCGCGUGUGUGAAGAAGGUCUUCGGAUUGUAAAGCACUUUAAGUUGGGAGGAAGGGCAGUUACCUAAUACGUAUCUGUUUUGACGUUACCGACAGAAUAAGCACCGGCUAACUCUGUGCCAGCAGCCGCGGUAAUACAGAGGGUGCAAGCGUUAAUCGGAAUUACUGGGCGUAAAGCGCGCGUAGGUGGUUUGUAAGUUGGAUGUGAAAUCCCCGGGCUCAACCUGGGAACUGCAUUCAAAACUGACAAGCUAGAGUAUGGUAGAGGGUGGUGGAAUUUCCUGUGUAGCGGUGAAAUGCGUAGAUAUAGGAGGAACACCAGUUGGNGAG
rnacentral:rRNA from 1 species